rnacentral:rRNA from 1 species
CCUACGGGAGGCAGCAGUGAGGAAUAUUGGUCAAUGGACGAGAGUCUGAACCAGCCAUGUAGCGUGAAGGAUGACUGCCCUAUGGGUUGUAAACUUCUUUUAUAUGGGAAUAAAAUGUUCCACGUGUGGGAUUUUGUAUGUACCAUAUGAAUAAGGAUCGGCUAACUCCGUGCCAGCAGCCGCGGUAAUACGGAGGAUCCGAGCGUUAUCCGGAUUUAUUGGGUUUAAAGGGAGCGUAGGUGGAUUGUUAAGUCAGUUGUGAAAGUUUGCGGCUCAACCGUAAAAUUGCAGUUGAUACUGGCAGUCUUGAGUACAGUAGAGGUGGGCGGAAUGCGUGGUGUAGCGGUGAAAUGCUUAGAUAUCACGAAGAACUCCGAGUGCGAAGGCAGCUCACUGGACUGCAACUGACACUGAGGCUCGAAAGUGUGGGUAGCAAACAGGAUUAGAUACCCGAGUAGUC